UUAAAUAAGAACAUAUCAAAGACAACUAUUUAACCGAAGAAGCUUUCUUUUAAAUUCUUGACUACUGCUUGCCAAAAGAACAUGUACAUAAUGCUUCGUGAUUGAUAUUCCUUCAGUGAGACCAGACGCUUUCACUAAAUAUAUGUAAACAGAUGAGAAUGAAGAUACCAAAUACUCAUGUGGAUUUGGUGGAUUUAGAGUAAAAAAUAUUCAAGCUUCUCAUGGACAAGUAUCGAUCGGUCGGGACGCGAAACCGUAUGAAACCGAUCGGUUUGGAUUUCUUACUGAUCUGUUUGGCUUUUGUAAAGUUUCAUUUUUCUAAGUUUUAGGGCUUCGACUCAUUAUAUUCUAGCCGCCGAGGUUUAUCUGACUUGUUGGAGUAAAAAGAGGAGUUCAAAGAUAAAAUGGAGAAAAUGAGUCAAGAAAAUGAUUGACUUUUUCACUGGUCGGUACCGAAGACAUAUAAAAUCGAUAAGUUUGGGGUUUCUAAAGUUUCAUUUUUCUAUGUUUUAGCGCUAUGACCAUUGCAUAAUAAUAUCCGAUGUAUUUUAGUCGAAUGAGUGCGACACUUUAUGCAAUUUUUCUAGUUUCUAAGUUUGUUCUUCUUUUGAUAGUUUUGUUUAAAAUAUUCUUCAAACUCUUUGCAAAUCUCUUUUCAAAGUCAAUGAUCUCUUUCUCUAUUGUAAUCAUGUUUACCUGGGCCAUGAGUAGUAGUCCUAUCAUUGAAUUUGGGAUUUGAA
rnacentral:misc_RNA from 1 species